UUUUGGAUUUGUCUGCUGGUCGGCCGCUGUAGUCUACGGCAUCAGCUACCGUCCAACUCCCUUUGCUCUCCUGAAAACCACCACAUCAAUCUUCAGUUUACAAAUCUUACAACCAAUAGUUUACAACCACAGAAGCAAAUAAUGAUGGAGAGGAAACUGCCUUUUUAUAGCCACAAAAAUGAAUGAAAGAGAGCUAGCACCGACCUUCCACUAUAUGUGAUUUGAGACAUAUCACAAAAACGUGAAGUCUUAAGAGAUAGGUUCAUCACACUUUAUUUCCAACUUUCCACCAUUUCUUUACUUAUAUAUAUUGUAAAUUAUUUUGGCUAUUUUUUUUUUUGUCUUUUUUUUGUGUGUUUUUUUAUCCUAUUUUGUCAUUUGUUGUAAAACUAUGAUGAUGAAUUAUUGUAUUUGAUCCAUAUCGACAAGGGAUAGAAAUGGAUCAUAGAAAAGAAACACUUGCAUAUAUUCCCAUAUAAAAUGUUUUGAGUGAUCAAGUAAAGAUUCUCUACGAGGUUUCUUACUGUUA